CACUCCUCACAGAGGUGCUUCUCGAGGCCACCAUCCCAGUGUUAGCAGUGGAUGGCCUUGCGUGGGUUGUGCAAGAAGCCACGAGUUCCUCAUCAAGAUCAGAUGCAAUUAUUGGUCUUGGUGAAGCAGAGGACCGGGUAGGAUCGUUGGGUACACUUGCCACCUUGCCUACACACUGAGAGAGUGUCCAUAUUAAUGAAGGCACUCCUCUUGAGGAUCAGAAGCGAGAAACUUCUCACACUUGCAAACAACAACUUUGACAUGGACCAGACGAUGUUCAAGAUCCUUGGACUAAUCCCCAAUGCUCUAAGCUUUUGCUAGCAAGAAGUGGUGGUGAUGCCAGCUCCUGCUUGCACCAAUAGGUCUGAGCUACACGUAUUUAUAGUCUGGGAUGUUUUACUAUUGUAGCUUGUUAGCUAAUUCUUUUAUUUCUAUAUGUAUAUAUCCACACGUAUUGCUUCGUCUACAU